AACCUUUACACUGCACGACAGUGCGAUAGGGGGACUCCGAGUGCGAGGGCAUACAGUCCUCGCUUUUCUGUACCGUAAGGUGGUACAGGAAUAAGGGCUGGGCAAGACCGGUGCCAGCCGCCGCGGUAAUACCGGCAGCCCGAGUGAUGGCCGAUAUUAUUGGGCCUAAAGCGUCCGUAGCCGGCCAGACAAGUCCGUUGGGAAAUCGGCGUGCCUAACACGUCGGCGUCCAGCGGAAACUGUCUGGCUUGGGGCCGGAAGACUCGAGGGGUACGUCCGGGGUAGGAGUGAAAUCCCGUAAUCCUGGACGGACCGCCGAUGGCGAAAGCACCUCGAGAGGACGGACCCGACGGUGAGGGACGAAAGCUAGGGUCUCGAACCGGAUUAGAUACCCGGGUAGUCCUAGCCGUAAACAAUGCUCGCUAGGUGUGGCGCAGGCUACGAGCCUGCGCUGUGCCGUAGGGAAGCCGUGAAGCGAGCCGCCUGGGAAGUACGUCCGCAAGGAUGAAACUUAA
rnacentral:rRNA from 1 species